rnacentral:rRNA from 1 species
UAGUGAACUAGUACCGUGAGGGAAAGGCGAAAAGAACCCCGGAGAGGGGAGUGAAAUAGAUCCUGAAACCGUAUGCGUACAAGCAGUGGGAGCCUACUUUGUUAGGUGACUGCGUACCUUUUGUAUAAUGGGUCAGCGACUUAUUUUCAGUGGCGAGCUUAACCGAAUAGGGGAGGCGUAGCGAAAGCGAGUCUUAAUAGGGCGUCUAGUCGCUGGGAAUAGACCCGAAACCGGGCGAUCUAUCCAUGGUGAGGUUGAAGGUUGGGUAACACUAACUGGAGGACCGAACCGACUACCGUUGAAAAGUUAGCGGAUGACCUGUGGAUCGGAGUGAAAGG